rnacentral:rRNA from 1 species
UACGGAGGGGGCUAGCGUUGUUCGGAAUUACUGGGCGUAAAGCGCGCUUAGGCGGACCUGCAAGUCGGGGGUGAAAGCCCGAGGCUCAACCUCGGAACUGCCUUCGAUACUGCGGGUCUCGAGUCCGGGAGAGGUGAGUGGAAUUCCUAGUGUAGAGGUGAAAUUCGUAGAUAUUAGGAAGAACACCAGUGGCGAAGGCGGCUCACUGGCCCGGUACUGACGCUGAGGUGCGAAAGCGUGGGGAGCAAACAGG